UCCUAUGGGUUCCUCGAACAAGUCAGCAAACUCAGUCAAAAGCCUCUCUAAUUGACUUUGUUUUGCAUCAGAUUCAUAGAGUAGAUAUGUGUGUUCAAGAGCAUGUUUGCUGCCUCUCAGCCUCAAGUAUAAUUUGCUUCCUGUUCACAGUAAAGCUCAUUCUAAGUGCAGCAAAAUCCUUAGGAAAGAGCCCAAAUUUUUUAUUCCUUGCACAAUAUCGAAC
rnacentral:lncRNA from 1 species